rnacentral:rRNA from 1 species
AUACGAAGGGGGCUAGCGUUGUUCGGAAUUACUGGGCGUAAAGCGCGCGUAGGCGGACUGAUCAGUUGGGGGUGAAAUCCCAGGGCUUAACCCUGGAACUGCCUCCAAUACUGUCAGUCUUGAGUUCGGGAGAGGUGAGUGGAAUUCCUAGUGUAGAGGUGAAAUUCGUAGAUAUUAGGAAGAACACCAGUGGCGAAGGCGGCUCACUGGCCCGGUACUGACGCUGAGGUGCGAAAGCGUGGGGAGCAAACAGGAUUAGAAACCCCAGUAGUCC